GAGAAAGACAUAGUGGUUAUGGGGUUGGCUUGAAACCAGUCUUAGGGGGUUCGAAUCCUUCCUUUCUUA
rnacentral:tRNA from 1 species